rnacentral:rRNA from 2 species
CUGCGCGGAAGAUGUAACGGGGCUAAACCAUGCACCGAAGCUGCGGCAGCGACACUGUGUGUUGUUGGGUAGGGGAGCGUUCUGUAAGCCUGUGAAGGUGUGUCGUGAGGCAUGCUGGAGGUAUCAGAAGUGCGAAUGCUGACAUAAGUAACGAUAAAGCGGGUGAAAAGCCCGCUCGCCGGAAGACCAAGGGUUCCUGUCCAACGUUAAUCGGGGCAGGGUGAGUCGACCCCUAAGGCGAGGCCGAAAGGCGUAGUCGAUGGGAAACGGGUUAAUAUUCCCGUACUUGGUGUUACUGCGAAGGGGGGACGGAGAAGGCUAUGUUGGCCGGGCGACGGUUGUCCCGGUUUAAGCGUGUAGGUGUGUGUUCCAGGUAAAUCCGGUUCACUUUAACACUGAGGCGUGACGACGAGGCACUACGGUGCUGAAGCAACAAAUGCCCUGCUUCCAGGAAAAGCCUCUAAGCAUCAGGUAACAUCAAAUCGUACCCCAAACCGACACAGGUGGUCAGGUAGAGAAUACCAAGGCGCUUGAGAGAACUCGGGUGAAGGAACUAGGCAAAAUGGUGCCGUAACUUCGGGAGAAGGCACGCUGACACGUAGGUGAAGUGAUUUACUCAUGGAGCUGAAGUCAGUCGAAGAUACCAGCUGGCUGCAACUGUUUAUUAAAAACACAGCACUGUGCAAACACGAAAGUGGACGUAUACGGUGUGACGCCUGCCCGGUGCCGGAAGGUUAAUUGAUGGGGUCAGCGCAAGCGAAGCUCCUGAUCGAAGCCCCGGUAAACGGCGGCCGUAACUAUAACGGUCCUAAGGUAGCGAAAUUCCUUGUCGGGUAAGUUCCGACCUGCACGAAUGGCGUAAUGAUGGCCAGGCUGUCUCCACCCGAGACUCAGUGAAAUUGAACUCGCUGUGAAGAUGCAGUGUACCCGCGGCAAGACGGAAAGACCCCGUGAACCUUUACUAUAGCUUGACACUGAACAUUGAGCCUUGAUGUGUAGGAUAGGUGGGAGGCUUUGAAGUGUGGACGCCAGUCUGCAUGGAGCCGACCUUGAAAUACCACCCUUUAAUGUUUGAUGUUCUAACGUGGACCCGUUACCCGGGUUGCGGACAGUGUCUGGUGGGUAGUUUGACUGGGGCGGUCUCCUCCUAAAGAGUAACGGAGGAGCACGAAGGUUGGCUAAUCCUGGUCGGACAUCAGGAGGUUAGUGC